UACAGAGACUGCAAGCGUUAUUCGGAUUCACUGGGCGUAAAGGGCGCGUAGGCGGUCGGAUAAGUCUUGUGUGAAAUCUUCGGGCUCAACUCGAAGUCUGCACAGGAAACUAUCUGGCUUGAGUGUGGGAGAGGUGAGUGGAAUUCCUGGUGUAGCGGUGAAAUGCGUAGAUAUCAGGAGGAACACCUGUGGCGAAAGCGGCUCACUGGACCACAACUGACGCUGAGGAGCGAAAGCGUGGGGAGCGAACAGG
rnacentral:rRNA from 1 species